UAAAAAAUUAUUUAGCAGUUUAGUUGUUUCAAUGAAUUUUUUUAUGUUGACACAACUUGCAGUUACUGAAUUUGUUCAUUCAACUAAAAAUUUUAAGUUUUCAGUGUCUCCACUAGUUUGAAAGUUGACUGAACUAGGUUAUUUGUCCUCAUAACUUAAAAAAAUUUGUUGACUCAAUUCAAUAGCAAUAUCACGUUCACAACAUCACUUAUCGCGAGAUCUCGUCAUUCUCCUGAAUGCUGUUGAAGACAGAAGAAGGUCGUCAGCCAUUCUAGUCAGUUUCUCCUCAAAGUUUGGACAUUUGACUAAAAUACAACUUUGAUUCAGCGCAGAAUUCAAUAAUCCUGUGGAUGGACCACAGCGAGUCCUUUUGCAGUUAUCCAUCAAAAUGAUAUGCAGACAUAAUGGAAAUGGCAUUUACACAGUAGAGCUUGGACGAAGUUGUAAGUAAAUUUAUUUAUUUAUAAAUGCACAUUUAUUGGAGUCUAUAUGCUUUAUGAUUGUAAGGCCCUGUUUAGUGCAUCCCUUUGUUUUUAUUAAAGCACACAGGCUCUGUGCAGGAAUUCAUCAAGGACAUGACUGCUGGGAUUACGCUUCUGGAUGACCAAUCUGAGCACCAUCAGUCUGCAGUGAUGUGAUCCAGCCAUCCAGUGACAUUAAGGAUGUUGAGAAAGAAAUUGAAGAGGGCAUUCUGAUUGUAACUGAGGAACAGCAAUGUGAUGUGCUUCCCAAGGAAUAACCAACAUUGGUCUCAUUUGGACAUCCUGUCAUCACUGACAUCUCCCAUGUCCCCAAGGCAUUUGGACUCUUAAUGGGUCUGUAUGCAGUGAACAUCCACUACCUCCAGCGCAUUAAAUACACCAUUGAGGCUCUUCAGAAACUUGUGAAGAUCAGCUGCUCCCACCAUGUGCUCGCUCCAGCGACAGGAACUGUAGGUGUGGGGGAGUGAAUAUCUAGCGCUCUCUCCACCCUCAACACCACAAAUAAGGUGUCCUUGAGCAAGGCACAACUUCUCCCCGGGUACUGCAGCAUAAAUGGAUGCCCACUGCUCUGGGUGUGUGUUCACGGUGUGUGUUCACUGCUGUGUGUGUGUGUGCACUUCGGAUGGGUUAAAUGAAGAGCACAAAUGUAUGUCAUGUCACUUUCACUUUUCAGUGUUCAUGAUGUGUCCAUCGGCUCCACCGCACUCUUUCUUAAAAAGUAGUGUUUUUUUUUUUUUUUUU